AUUGAACGCUGGCGGCAGGCCUAACACAUGCAAGUCGAGCGGAUGAAGGGAGCUUGCUCCUGGAUUCAGCGGCGGACGGGUGAGUAAUGCCUAGGAAUCUGCCUGGUAGUGGGGGAUAACGUCCGGAAACGGGCGCUAAUACCUCAUACGUCCUGAGGGAGAAAGUGGGGGAUCUUCGGACCUCACGCUAUCAGAUGAGCCUAGGUCGGAUUAGCUAGUUGGUGGGGUAAAGGCCUACCAAGGCGACGAUCCGUAACUGGUCUGAGAGGAUGAUCAGUCAAACUGGAACUGAGACACGGCCCAGACUCCUACGGGAGGAAGCAGUGGGGAAUAUUGGACAAUGGGCGAAAGCCUGAUCAAGACAUGCCGCGUGUGUGAAGAAGGUCUUCGGAUUGUAAAGCACUUUAAGUUGGGAGGAAGGGCAGUAAGUUAAUACCUUGCUGUUUUGACGUUACCAACAGAAUAAGCACCGGCUAACUUCGUG
rnacentral:rRNA from 1 species